GAUGAACGCUAGCGACAGGCUUAACACAUGCAAGUCGAGGGGCAGCACAGGGUAGCAAUACUUGGGUGGCGACCGGCGCACGGGUGAGUAACGCGUAUGCAACUUACCUAUCAGAGGGGGAUAGCCCGGCGAAAGUCGGAUUAAUACCCCAUGAAACAGGGGUCCCGCAUGGGAAUAUUUGUUAAAGAUUCAUCGCUGAUAGAUAGGCAUGCGUUCCAUUAGGCAGUUGGCGGGGUAACGGCCCACCAAACCGACGAUGGAUAGGGGUUCUGAGAGGAAGGUCCCCCACAUUGGUACUGAGACACGGACCAAACUCCUACGGGAGGCAGCAGUGAGGAAUAUUGGUCAAUGGGCGAGAGCCUGAACCAGCCAAGUAGCGUGCAGGAUGACGGCCCUAUGGGUUGUAAACUGCUUUUAUAAGGGAAUAAAGUGGAGUCGUGACUCUUUUUGCAUGUACCUUAUGAAUAAGGACCGGCUAAUUCCGUG
rnacentral:rRNA from 1 species